UAAUCCUUCUUUCCUUUACCUUUCUUCUCAUCCGAAAACUUCCCCGAAGAAAUUCGGAAUCGGAAAAGCGCGACGGCAAACGAAUCAAAACCCUGGGAAGAAAACAAGGGUUUGCUCUGAUUCAACUCCAAUGGCGAAGAAGAGGAAAUCGGAGGCUACGCGGCUAGACGAGAUCGACCGUACCAUGUACUCCGCCUUUCGCGGCGCAGCCAACUCGCUCUCUCAGCUUUACACACACGCCAUGUCCCAUCAGCGCCUCUCGUUCCUCGCCGGUGAACGCCGCGCUCUGGAGAAACUCCAUCAAUGGAUUGUGAGACAGCAAGAAGAAGGAACAAAGGCCUCAACGGUUGAUAUUAUAGCUUACUUGCAGGUUCUUUCCUUUGCUCUUGUCCUAUUGCUAUCCUUUAAUCACUCUCUCAUAUGCUCAUGUCUGAAAAUUGUGUUUACAGACCAAUUUUCAUUGAACCUGAUGCAGAAUGAGCUACAAUAUGAGAUAGAGGAGGACCCGAUAUCACCUACGCUUGAGUUUCAUCAGUCGCAACACCAAACUGCUGCGCCACCAAAUUCAUUCUCCAGUGGCCUGUCAAGCCCUGUUCGAAGGACCCUUCAGCAAUUUAACCUAGCCGAGGCAAGUAAUCACCAUCUGAAUUCCUCCCCAGGUUCUGGAAAUUCCUUGGAAGCACGCCCAGAUGAUAGCUCGUGUCAGGAUCUCUCUCGGUGAAUUCGUGUAUCAUAUUGUCUGAUGAAUUUGGUCACACCUGCAAUACAAUUUACAUGACGACAUUUAAUGCAAAAAAGAAGAGGUAACUUUGAUGAAACAGAGAGGGAAGAGAUGGAUUGAAUUCAAAGGGCCAAAACCUUGCAUGUGCUCUUAUGGCCCCUCACUCACCAAGUUGUCUGCCCUGCAAAUUUGAUUUUUUUUUUGUAUGAUUGAUGCUUUGAUGUUGAUUGAUUCGUUCAUGUAAAGUCCGAGAA